AAACUUUCAACAACGGAUCUCUUGGCUCUGGCAUCGAUGAAGAACGCAGCGAAAUGCGAUAAGUAAUGUGAAUUGCAGAAUUCAGUGAAUCAUCGAAUCUUUGAACGCACAUUGCGCCCGCCAGCACUCUGGCGGGCAUGCCCGUCCGAGCGUCAUU
rnacentral:rRNA from 2 species